rnacentral:rRNA from 1 species
UACGAAGGGGGCGAGCGUUGUUCGGAAUUAUUGGGCGUAAAGGGCGCGUAGGCGGCCUGGCAAGUGGAAGGUGAAAUCCCUCGGCUUAACCGAGGAACUGCCCUCCAAACUGCUUGGCUUGAGUCCGGGAGAGGUGAGUGGAAUUCCCAGUGUAGCGGUGAAAUGCGUAGAUAUUGGGAGGAACACCAGUGGCGAAGGCGGCUCACUGGACCGGUACUGACGCUGAUGCGCGAAAGCGUGGGGAGCAAACGGG